rnacentral:rRNA from 1 species
CGGGAUAACACCUGGAAACAGAUGCUAAUACCGGAUAACAACAGAUGAUGCCUAUCAACUGUUUAAAAGAUGGUUCUGCUAUCACUCUUGGAUGGACCUGCGGUGCAUUAGCUAGUUGGUAGGGUAACGGCCUACCAAGGCGAUGAUGCAUAGCCGAGUUGAGAGACUGAUCGGCCACAUUGGGACUGAGACACGGCCCAAACUCCUACGGGAGGCAGCAGGU